rnacentral:rRNA from 1 species
GAGGGUUGAUAGGUUAAGAGCUGAUUGAAUGGACGUUACCCACAGAAGAAGCACCGGCUAACUCCGCGCCAGCAGCCGCGGUAAUACGGAGGGUGCGAGCGUUAAUCGGAAUUACUGGGCGUAAAGGGUGCGUAGGUGGUUAAUUAAGUUAUCUGUGAAAUUCCUGGGCUCAACCUGGGGUGGUCAGAUAAUACUGGUUGACUUGAGUAUGGUAGAGGGUAGUGGAAUUUCCGGUGUAGCGGUGAAAUGCGUAGAGAUCGGAAAGAACACCGGUGGCGAAGGCGGCUACCUGGACUAAUACUGACACUGAGGCACGAAAGCGUGGGGAGCAAACAGGAUUAGAUACCCUGGUAGUCCACGCUGUAAACGAUGUCAACUAGCUGUUGGUUAUAUGAAUAUAAUGAGUGGCGCAGCAAACGCGAUAAGUUGACCA